AUUCAGUUGAUGAAUCCCAAACAGGACGAAACGCACAUCCUGGAU
rnacentral:hammerhead_ribozyme from 1 species